GCGGGGUCCUUUUUGGGCCGGUGACAGGUGGUGCAUGGCUGUCUUCAGCUCGUGUCNUGAGAUGUUGGGUUAAGUCCCGCAACGAGCGCAACCCUCUUUCCAUGUUGCCCGCACGUGAUGGUGGGGACUCAUGGGAGACCGCCCGGGUCAACUCGGAGGAAGGUGGGGAUGACGUCAAGUCAUCAUGCCCCUUAUGUCUUGGGCUGCAAACAUGCUACAAUGGCCGGUACAAAGGGCUGCCAUACCCUGAGGUGGAACGAAUCCCUUAAAACCGGUCUCAAUUCGGAUCGAAGUCUGCAACUCCACUUCCUGAAGUCGGAGUCGCUAGUAAUCGCAG
rnacentral:rRNA from 1 species